GACUAUGGCAUGCCACCCUAAACAAGCCCGAUGUCUGAUCUCAGAAGCUAAGCACGGUCGAGCCUGGUUAGUACUUGGAUGGGAGAUCACCUAGGAAGACCAUGUGCUGUAGUCA
rnacentral:rRNA from 1 species